ACUGGGUGUGGUGGUGUGUGCCUGUUGUCCUAGCUACUUGGGAGGCUGAGACAGGAGGAUCUUCUGAGCCCAGGAGGUCUGGGCUGUAAAGCAGUAUGUCAAUUGGGUGUCCACACUAAGUUCAGCAUCAGUAUGAUGACCUCUUCGAAGCAAGGACCACCAUGUUGCCUAAGGAGGGGUGAACUGGCCCAGGUUGGAAACAGAGUAGGUCAAAACUCCCAUGCUGAUCAGUAGUGGGAUAGAGCCUGUGAAUAGCCGCUACACUCUGGCCUGGGCAAUGAAAAAAAUAUGUAUAUU
ensembl:misc_RNA Metazoa_SRP Metazoan signal recognition particle RNA